GUGCAGUGAUGAUAUCCAGAGAAUGGUUUCGCAAAUUUCUGAAAUUUAGUGACGAGUAAAUCUCUUGGCUGUCUGAGUGC